AAAGGAAUAGACGGGGACCCGCACAAGUGGUGGAGUAUGUUGUUUAAUUCGAUGCUACGCGAGAAACCUUACCGACUCUUGACAUGUCGCACGCGAUUUUCAGAGAUGAAAAUUUUCAAUUCGGUUGGUGCGAACACAGAUGCUGCAUGGCUGUCGUCAGCUCGUGUCGUGAGAUGUUAGGUUAAGUCCUGCAACGAGCGCAACCCACGCCCUAUGUUGCCAGCGGGUAAUGCCGGGGACUCUUAGGGGACCGCCCGCGUCAAGCGGGAGGAAGGUGUGGAUGACGUCAAGUCAUCAUGGUUCUUACGAGUCGGGCUACAAACGUACUACAAUGGCGAUAACAGUGGGUCGCAAUGUCGCAAGACAAAGCCAAUCCUUAAAAAUCGUCUCAGUUCGGAUUGUCCUCUGCAACUCGAGGGCAUGAAGUCGGAAUCACUAGUAAUCGCUGAUCAGAAUGCAGCGGUGAAUGCGUUCCCGGGUCUUGUACACACCGCCCGU
rnacentral:rRNA from 1 species